rnacentral:SRP_RNA from 1 species
GCCAGGUGUGGUGGCGCGUACCUGUAGUCCCAGCUACUCGGGAGGCUGAGGCAGGAUCAUCACUUGUACCCAGGAGGCAGAGGUUGCAGUGAGCCGAGAUCAUGCCACUGCACCCCAGGCAGCCUGGGUGACAGAGUGAGAUUCUGUCUCAA